UUUUUUUUUUUGAGAUGGAGUCUUGCUCUGUGCCAGGCUGGAGUGCAGUGGUGUGAUCUCCGUUCGCUGAAACCCCUGCAUCCCGGGUUCAAGAGAUUCCCCUGCUUCAGCCUCCUGAGUAGCUGAGACUACAGGCACGCACCACCAUGCCCUGUGCAUGGGCAUAUUUUGUAUUUUAGUAGAGACGGGGUUUCACCAUGUUGGUCAGGCUGGUCUCGAACUCUUGACCUCAUGAUCCGCCCACCUCGGCCUCCCAAAGUGCUGGGAUUGCAGGCAUGAGCCACCGCUCCCAGCCAUUUUAAUUUCUUUAAUCGGAUGAUAAACACUGAGCUGUGAUGCCUUCUUCAAAAAAGAAAAGAAAAGAAAUUAAAAAAGAAGAAAAACACAAACUUUAGGUCAAAGAAAAUGUUUUAAUAUGUAAUAUUAAUAUAUUCACCUUUGUACUGACACAAUCGGAAAAUAUGCUUUUGUAAUUGUUUUUUUAAGUGGAGCAAGGGGCACAGGAGGGUGAGCGUGCAUGGGGCCCGAGAAAGUAAUAAUGUGGCCCUGGGUGGGAGUGGGACUCAGGGUCUCCACGACCUGGGGCAGAGUCACAGAGGCGGGAAUGACUCAGUGCAGGAGGGGCUGGCCGGUGGCUUGGCGUAGCUGUGCACAGGUGCAGGAGGAGCUGCGGGAACGCAGAGAGACCCCACCUCAGACAGAGCCUGUUCUGUAAGGCAAGCAGCCCUGGCUUCUGAGCACGUCUCAGGAUCAAGUGCUCAGGGGCCUCAGCCUUAGGGAUUACCGAGAGAUGGAUAUGUGGGGAUUACCGAGAGAUGGAUACCUGGGGAUUACCGAGAGACGGAUACGUGGGGAUUACCGAGAGACGGGUACGACGGGGAUUACGAGAGGUGCGUGGGGAUUACCGAGAGGGGGAUUACGAGGGGAUUACGAGGCGGAUACGGGAUUAGAGAUGGGUGUGUGGGGAUUACCGAGAGGACGGAUUGGGGAUUAUGCGGAUACGUGGGGAUUACAGAGAGAUGGGUGUGUGGGGAUUGCCGAGAGAUGGAUACGUGGGGAUUGCCGAGAGAUGGGUACGUGGGGAUUGCCGAGAGAUGGGUACGUGGGGAUUGCCGAG
rnacentral:lncRNA from 1 species